CUGGCCUGCCCACUGAUAUUUUUUUAAAGGCCGCGGUACCCUGACCGUGCGAAGGUAGCAUAAUAAUUAGUCUUUUAAUUGAAGACUGGAAUGAACGGUCGGACAAAAAGCACCCUGUCUCAGUUUUAAAAAUUGAAAUUAACUUUUAAGUGAAAAGGCUUAAAUACCCUAAAAGGACGAUAAGACCCUAUAAAACUUUAUAUACGAAGCCAAUACAUUCCUAUUUAUUUGUUUAAAGUCAUCUAUCGGCUUGUGUAUUACGUUGGGGAGACGAGAGUAAAACAAAUAACUGCUCUUUCUUAAAAACAACCAUGUUUGACUUUAAUGACCCUUUCAUUAAGAUCUAGAGAUAAAGUUACUUUAGGGAUAACAGCGUUAUUUUUUUUAAGAGUUCAUAUCGACAAAAAAGUUUGCGACCUCGAUGUUGAAUUAAAAUAACCCUAUAGUGCAGAAAUUAUAGAGGUAGGUCUGUUCGACCUUUAAAAUUUUACAUGAUUUGAGUUCAAACCGGCGCGAG
rnacentral:rRNA from 1 species